rnacentral:lncRNA from 1 species
CGAAGAAAUUAGUGUUAAUUCUCAUAUGAUUUCUAAAAUAGAUUAGGGCUUUUUAUAGUUGAUGGUUUAUCGAUUAUUCUUUGAAGAAUAUAUUUCACUUGCAGCAAAUAUUGGAUGUGGGUUACGCAUUUGUUUCUACUUCUAUCGUAAUGUCAUCAAUUGAAGCCCUAAUUUGUGGGCGGGGUCUGCUACAGUUGGUGGAUAUUUCGAUUAAGCUGGUUCUGGAAGUGGCGCAAAAGUUGGUGGAGAAUAAGGUUAGAACGGCUUGUGGAUAAUCAAUGGGUUCUCAACAAUUGUCCUCCUAUCACUGUUGCAAUCAUGACCCUUGCUGUGAUGGCCAUGAAGUUAUGUGGUAUGAGUGUUAUGCGUUGAAGUUGCGGAGGUGGUAGCAUCUUGCGUUGUUCUUUGCAAGUCUGAUACACUUGACUAAAAAGUCUACAAUUCAUCUUCUUCGUCGAUUCAAUGUCAAUCCAUUCGUCACACAGUGAGUUAACUCAGGAAGGUGUUGUCAACCAAUGAAAGGAUGAUAUGGGGAUACUACAGGACAAAAUUAAUGCUUUGUUGAGAUCUAAUGAACUAUAACUUGAAAGAUACUUGGAAAGCUUAAAAGAUGAAAUGUCCUCACAAAUUUACGCUCCGAGCUUAUGGCUUUAAAGUCUUGAUUUGUUUAG